rnacentral:sRNA from 1 species
UUUGGGGUAUGGGCCCUAAAAACAAUCAAUGACAUUUGUCUCUUGUUAAAUUGUUUUGUGUUUCGUUAUUUAUUAAUUCCGAAAUUUGGUUGAAAUUACAACAACAUAUAUGAAUUUCAGUACGACCCACACACUCCAAUUUGUGUAUACACAUGCACGUAAGCAGCUUAUAAAUUGUUUGAUGCCAUAUUAAUUUUUAUUUUAAAUGGCAACAUUUUUGCCAAAGAAACUCAAAAAAAUCAAAUGUGGUAACCUUUUCAAACCGCCGAAAAAACGAUUUUCGAAAAAUUUUCCGCAAAAAAAUGCGUAGUACCAGCCUUUAGAGCGGUGGAAAUAUAAAACACUUUAAUAUUCACAAAAUCAGAAAACGGUACUCCUAAAAACAGUUCCCGUAAUCUGAUAUAUGAUCAUAUCUAUGGAGAUUAUACACAAAGCUAAGAAUCAUAUUCGGAUGUGUUCCGCGUUUCACCUCACUUUCACUUUUCGAAAACUGUUUACUUUCCCGUUGCCGAAUUCUCGUUCGAAAAACGAAGACUUGAUGUCUCUGCAAGGCUAUAUGAUUUGCAAACUAAAAUGUAAAAACAUUCUUCCUUAUUCCUAUUGUCAAAGGCGAAAAUCGACAGCAGUCGAGGGCGAAUUUCACAUUUCGUUGUAUUCUGUAACUUAUUCGCCUUCAACAGUUUGAUGAUAGAAAAAUAUUGUGGUAAAUAAAAAAAAUAAUAUAAAAGUAGGUUCCAUACUAUUGCGACAUACAGACGUGAUGUAUUUUAGAUUGCAAUUAGCUUAUAUUUAUAUCCGUCGAAUUUGUCAAAUUUGACAGUCGAAUUCGUAUUCGCAUUCGUCAAAUUUGACAUUCGAAUUAGAUUACUACAAUAGGUUGCUUUAUCUUUGAUAAAGCAAUCUAGUGUCUUAUGCUUAUCUUUGAUAAAGCAAUCUAGUGUCUUAUGCUUUGAGUUAUAUCGCUUUUAUGAUCUUUAAUAUUAGUUCAUUUGACCAGUAUUAUGUUAGUAAAUUUUUUUUCCAAUUGUGUUUUAUGUUAAUUCAUAAUAAUUUGUUUAAUCCACAUCCCUACUGUAUAUCUUUUUUUAUGUUGGAUAGCCCUAUUGGGGAAAUUGUCAGCGAUGACUCGUUUAUAAAGAAUUUUAGUAAUCCGCUCAAUGGUAACGCAAACAUAGCUUAUUUUAAUGCGCAGUCUAUGAACCCAGGAGGAAAAUCUACCAAAUUCACUGAGAUUUAAAAUAUUAUAUCUAGUAAAUAUCUAAGCAUAGUUGGAAUUACAGAGACAUGGCUUAAAUCAUACAUUUCAAAGUUGGUGGCGUCGCGCUCUAUUCAUCAUCUUCCUUGAAAACUCAGUUUGUGUCAACGAUUUCUGGUAAAUGUGAGGCCUUAUUUGUUCGUGUUUACUCAGACUCCUUCAGCGUUUCGGUAGGGGUGGUUUAUUUGCGGCAUGGAGAUAUUGAAGCAUUUGAAGAGCACGUUGCGGACACUAGUGCCCGAUUCGGUCGCAUCAAUAUCAUCGGUGAUUUCAACUACGAUCUUACUAUUCGCAGAAAUUAUUCAAAUGUUAAUAAUAUUCUUAAUCGAUGUAAUAUAUCACUUGUGCACAACAGUUUGCCGACACACUACAAUAUCCCUAGAAAUACUGCCGCUUUGAUACACAGUGGACAAUUUAAUUUUCCACCACUAAAUUCGAAUCAUGGUUUUUUGCUUAUUCAAUAUAACGUCGCUUAUAUCCGAAACUGCAUUAUCAAAAAGUA